rnacentral:rRNA from 1 species
UACAGAGGGUGCGAGCGUUAAUCGGAAUUACUGGGUGUAAAGGGCGCGUAGGCGGCAAGAUGUGUGUGAUGUGAAAGCCCCGGGCUUAACCUGGGAAGUGCAUUGCAAACUGUCUGGCUAGAGUACAUGAGAGGGUGGCGGAAUUUCCGGUGUAGCGGUGAAAUGCGUAGAGAUCGGAAGGAACGUCAAUGGCGAAGGCAGCCACCUGGCAUGAUACUGACGCUGAGGCGCGAAAGCGUGGGGAGCGAACAGG